rnacentral:rRNA from 1 species
UUAUUAACACAAAACCAAUCGGACUGUGGGCCGCUCUUUGGUGACUCUGAAUCACUACGCUGAUUGCACGGUCCUCUGACAUGCACGCUUCUUUCAAGUGACUGCCCUAUCAACUGACGGAUGGGUAUUGGCCUACCUACCAUGGUUGUAACGGGUAACGGAGGAUAAGGGUUCGACUCCGGAGAGGGAGCCUGACAAAUGCCUACCACAUCCAAAGAAGGAGGCGGCGCAUUAAUUACCCACUCUCCAAACGAGGUAGGGACGACAAAAAAUAUACUGGGCAUUCUCGUUUGGUCUGCCAAUGAAUGGGUACAAAUCCACCCUUUAACUAGUAUCAAUUGGCAAGACAAGGCUGGUGCCAGCAGCCGCAUUCCAUUCUCCCUCCAAUAAUAUUAUAUUAAAGUUGUUGCAAAAAAAAAGCUCGUAGAUGGAUCUGCAGAAUAAGAUGCUGGUCCUCCUACCAUGGUUCUGGCUGGUACUUCUAGUCUAUAUGAAAAAUCGACUUGUGGUGCUCUUAACUGAGUGCCUUCAGCGACCAGCACGUUUACUAUGAAAAAAUGUGACUGCUCAAAGCAC